rnacentral:lncRNA from 1 species
ACCAGCUCUCCUGCUCCUUCCACCUCAGGGCCCUCUUAGGGUUGCCUCUUACAUUCUUUCCAGGGCUUAGCAGACAGGAACAGGGAGGGUCGGGUUUAGGCCAUCUUACCCAGACCGGAAGUCUCUAAGUGUUUGAUUGAGUGUUUGUUUGAAGAAAGUGAUGAACCCAGGACCUCGAGCCAGGAAGAUUUUUCCCGGUGAAAAGCAGAGGGAUUGACUCACGCUCGGUUCUGAGUUCCAGGCCUGACUCCAGGGCUCACCAGCUUCUUCCACAACCCGCACAACUUGAACGCUUGGUAGCAUCUCCACGCAGCAGUGGGCACCCUGGCUUCUGGAGGAGCCCAGGCUGCAUUUACCCCUCCAUGGUGCAUCUCAUAGGAUCAACUGGACCCGCGAAAGGCACUGGCUGCGGAAAAGCAGCCAACUGCUCCCCAGCGAAGGGGAUGGCCGGAAGCGAGGAGAGGGAGAAGCCCCAGCAGAGACCCCAGGAGGAAAAGACCCCACAACGGGGCCACUGGGAACCCAUGAUGUUGGUUACCAAUGUGAUUGGAGGUUCGGAACGACGGACGUGUGGCCCUGAAGUGGGAAACAGAAAAGCUGAAGGGCGAGACCUGGGAGGGAGCCCCCCACCCCCGCGGACUCCAGAGACCCAACCUUCCUUCCCUGCGCUCCGGCCGGACGUUCUCCCUGCCCCUGUGGCCGAGCCUGGUGACGAUUCAGCACACAGGAAGGUGGCCCUGCCCAGGGCCAAGCUCUCUCUCAGUUGGCACCUGGCCAGCUUCCUUUCCUUCACCUUACCAUGCUCCUUUCUGGAAGGCACCACUCCAAACCGUCUCCUUGGAAAAGCAACUUCAGCCCCAGUGCCUGUCCCUGCUACACCCAACGUUCCUGUCUGGAAAAGAGUUGCUCUUUAUUCAGCACCUACUCAGGAGGCUGAGGCAGGAGAAUCACUGGAACCCAGAAGACGGAGGUUGCGGUGAGCCAAGAUCAUGCCAUUGCACUCCAGCCUGGGCAACAAGAGGGAAACUCCAUCUCAAAAUAAAUAAAUAAAUAAAAAUAAAAA